rnacentral:rRNA from 1 species
UUCUAAUAAUUAUCUCUAUUAGUAAAAUCUGCUCAAUGAAAAUUAAAUAGCCGCAAUUUUAAUUUGUGCUAAGGUAGCAUAAUCAUUUGUCUUAUAAUUUAAGACUAGAACAAAAGAUUUAACAUUUAAAUUUCUAUAAAAUAAAUUCCUUUUUAAUUUAUUUUAAAUAUAAAAAAAUAUUUAUUAAUAAAAAAGACGAUAAGACCCUAUUAAACUUUACUUUUGUUUAACUGGGGAAGUUAGUUAAUAAUAACUUUAAUAUUAAUUAAACAUAAAUAGACCUAAUAAAAUUAAUUACUUGACUAAGUUACUAUAGGGAUAACAGCGUAAUAAUUUUUUAAAGAUCUUAUAUAAAAAAAUUUUUACGACCUCGAUGUUGAAUAAUAUUCUUUAAAAUGCAAUAAUAUUAAAAGAAAGUCUGUUCGACUUUUAAUUAAUUACA